CAUCUCUUCAUCUGAUAACCUUAAGAUUUUAAUGGACCAAUUUAUGUACAAUUUUGACGGUUCAAGACGUGACUCCUAACACCAAUCACUAAGUCUUCUCUGUGGCAUAGCUGAUACUAGGAUCUUGAUCCUAAAUAAGAUUGCUACGUUGUAGUAAACUGUCCCGAUUCUGUAGCUCUUUAAUGUAAUAGUUACAAGAGCACAGACAUGCAUACAGUAUGUCAAUGUAUUGUUACACUUUAUCUCAUUUUAAAAUGAUUUUGAUAUGACAUUUCAUUGUAUUUACUACAUGCACUUUUAUUCAAUUUCAAUUUAUUCAAAUUAGACACAUAAGCUUAUUUCAUGUUUUAAUAAUAAAAAAAAAAAAAAAGUCCAAAAACUGCUGCGAAAAAACCCACAACAAAAUUGCGGUAAAGUGGGUCAAUAACUCAUACUAGAAGAGAGAAACAAUUUUAGAAUUUAUGAAAGUUUUUGACAAUAUUUCGCAGAGUGUCAUUACUACAGAAUACGCAUUGUAGAAGUCCUUAAUUCUAGCAAACAUUUGUCACAUCAAAAUGGAAGUAAAAUACGGCCAAUUACACAUCCUAAUAAGUACGAAAGUUUUCUGGCAAAUGCUAUUUGAGAAGCAGCAUUCAUUGGGUCUAACUAUGUUAAAAUAUGUCAAACAAAUGGUCAAAGUUCCAUAACUCCUGCAGCAAACAAUAAAAUAAAAAUGGCGGCUUAGAAUGUGACCUUCAAGUGACGACCCAUCUUUCAUAUAACUAUGAUUGUCAUUCCUCAAUGACUUGUGACCUUUACAGCAUGCAGCCCAAACAUAUAAAUAUGGAUGUUUCUGAAAAAAGUUCAUAAUGAGAUCAGUAACUUUUUAAGAGUUGGAGGCUGCAAGAGUUAUCUCCCGUUUUAGAUAGUUUUUUAUGCAGUCGACCGUUGAAACGUUUAGCUAAAAGCGUGAUAAGUAAAAACUGCAUUCUACCGACAUGUAAUCUUUUUGUUUUUCCUUCUAUUUUUAGGUCAGACAUUUCAUAAAAGGAAACGUAGUGAGUACUUGAUACUAUUUACAUAAAGCUUUUGCCCUUACACAUUAGAAAUAGUAGGAAUGUUUCAUGUAACUCAUUCACAUAGAUACAUGUACAUUCAAUGAUCGAAAUAUACAGCAUUAGAUUAUAAUGUUGAUAAACUUGUAUUAAAAUGGGGAGAAACUUCAAGGUCAUCAUACGAAUAUUAUAAAACGAUAAUUAAUGGAAAAAAAAAUCAAGGUCAUUGUAAUACGCAUAUAAUAGACAAUAAUUGAAAGAGUUAAAUGCUAUUUGAAGGCGUUUUUACUGUUCUGACGCCCACAUAACAACAUUAAUAUGAUGCACACAAACAAAUGUUAACUCCUAAAUUGUACUUAAAUUGUGCAAAACACUUCAAAAUACCGUUAGGAAGUUUUAUAAUUGGCAAGCAUUCUCAUUGUACAAGUUGAAAACUGAAGAAUAGGAGCAGAUAAAUCUAUUUUUGUUUGGUUAUGUAUAUUUAAAUCUAGUGAUAACUCACCAAAGAUACCAGGUUUAUAACUAGUGCAUUAUAUAAUCAAACGAUAUGCUAUAUACUUGGUUUAGCAUUUUCUAAUCAUUUAAGAAUAACAAUCAAAUGGCACAUAUCUGAUGUAAUUGUAUCAUUACACAGAACAUGUAUACUAAAAAGCAAAAUGUAUACAUGUGUUCAAAAUGUUAAAUCUCCGGUGAAUGAUUCUAUUCGGCUUCAUAUUUAUGUAACAUCAGACUUGGUGUAGUAGAAAGUGGUAUACGUUGAGUUUUGGUCUCUGUCCUUGAGAAGAAAUAGACAAACCUGGUCGACAUAAAAGCAACAUAUAAAAGAACAAAGUUAGCAGAUAACUUUCCCAUACUACCAAAGUCCUCUUCCUUUUAGGCUAGGAGCCUCGGUGUAGAGUGGUCUAAGUAGUUACAUUACUACUGUAAUCAAUAGCCAGUGAUCACUUAGGUCGUGAGUUCAAACACUAGACUCCAAUCUUAAUUGACUAGGGUUGUCAGUUUUCCUAUCGAAAGUCAGUGGUUUUCUCCGGGCACUCCGGC
rnacentral:lncRNA from 1 species